rnacentral:rRNA from 1 species
GGGUUGUGAGGUUAAGCGACUAAGCGUACACGGUGGAUGCCCUGGCAGUCAGAGGCGAUGAAGGACGUGCUAAUCUGCGAUAAGCGCCGGUAAGGUGAUAUGAACCGUUAUAACCGGCGAUUUCCGAAUGGGGAAACCCAGUGUGACUCGUCACACUAUCAUUAACUGAAUCCAUAGGUUAAUGAGGCGAACCGGGGGAACUGAAACAUCUAAGUACCCCGAGGAAAAGAAAUCAACCGAGAUUCCCCCAGUAGCGGCGAGCGAACGGGGAUGAGCCCAGAGCCUGAAUCAGCAUGUGUGUUAGUGGAAGCGUCUGGAAAGGCGCGCGAUACAGGGUGACAGCCCCGUACACAAAAGCGCAUAUGCUGUGAGCUCGAUGAGUAGGGCGGGACACGUGGUAUCCUGUCUGAAUAUGGGGGGACCAUCCUCCAAGGCUAAAUACUCCUGACUGACCGAUAGUGAACCAGUACCGUGAGGGAAAGGCGAAAAGAACCCCGGCGAGGGGAGUGAAAAAGAACCUGAAACCGUGUACGUACAAGCAGUGGGAGCCCCACCACUAAGCCAGUGGUGAACUCCACAUACGCAUCCUUUGCUGAGGAUGCGGUUAACGGAGCGAAAGCGACGUUCAACCGCAAAAGAAGCAGAGGGGGCUUAGUGGUGGGGUGACUGCGUACCUUUUGUAUAAUGGGUCAGCGACUUAUAUUCUGUAGCAAGGUUAACCGAAUAGGGGAGCCGGAGGGAAACCGAGUCUUAAUUGGGCGUUAAGUUGCAGGGUAUAGACCCGAAACCCGGUGAUCUAGCCAUGGGCAGGUUGAAGGUUGGGUAACACUAACUGGAGGACCGAACCGACUAAUGUUGAAAAAUUAGCGGAUGACCUGUGGCUGGGGGUGAAAGGCCAAUCAAACCGGGAGAUAGC